rnacentral:lncRNA from 1 species
UCCAAUAGAUCACUUCCAACUUUCAAGCACUCUUGCAAUGCUUCUCUCUUUUCUAUUCUCUCUAUAAUCUAUUCUCGCGAACUACAGAGUGUGAAGUCUCUCUCUCUCUCUCUCUCUCUCUCAUAUUACAGAUUUGUAUCCAUUGGGUAUAGUGAGAUCCUAUAGUCCACAAACCUCCUUGACCUUUCUUCUGCUAGCUUAGCUUGAAAUUGGAUAGGCCUACAUCCCCAUAUGGUCCCCAUAUGGCCCUAAUGCUUUAACGCUUGUGAUGCGAGCGGUCGUCUCCUGAAUAAGCGAAAUAUAGGGUCUUUCUCUUUUGACCAAUAAAAGGAUUUCUCUUUGUUUCAUCACAUCUUACACACAACUCAUGUUCCAGAUAUUAAUUAUUAUUUGGAUCUGAAAGCAGUUUCAUGUGUGGUGGUUGAUUUUUCGCAAGCAGAUGUUGUGUUGCUCGACUCUAAACUCGUCGUAGAUGGUUCACUUUGUAUUGUGAUCAUUAUUGAAUCAGGAUACUGAUUAUCCUGUUACCGCGUGCUCUUCCUUUGCACUAGCUUCCUUUCACCUCUCUACUUUCCACCAUUUCUCAUUCUCCCAGAGCUCUCUCUGAAGCCGGCUCUAUAAUAUCCAUGGACGCUUCAUGGUCC